UACCAGUGACGUCACUGGAAAGAGAAGUCUGACGUCUGCAAGUUCUAGGGCCUAGCUAAAGGUGAGGAAUGCAUAAAAUCAACAAUUAUUUAAUUACUUUAUGACUGUGUGUUGCAUGUAAACUAAGGGGGGUGUUUUUUUUCAGUGUAUUACAUAAUGGAGACGUGGGUUACCAAAAACUGAAAAUAUUGACCAUGUUGAGCCAGUGAGCUGUCUUGGUCAGCACCCAGGUGUAUCCAUCAACACGGGCACGUUAUAUCAAAAUGCAGAUAUGCAUUCCAGGAUGGUGACUGAAGCUCAUCUUUGUAAACACCUAUAUAAUGCCUAGAAUGGACUCCAAAACAGAUUCUUAAAGUUUAACCAGUAUAAUCUUGAAUAUGGAUAAAAAAGUAUACACUUGGAACACACACAAAAACAGAUGAGUCCAUGCCAAGCUUAAGAUUAAUGCAGAAGGUAAGUUCAAUUUUUCAUUUCGUAACUCUUUUGGUUUUAUCCAGAUCGGACCUUACAUAUAAUUAAGUCAGCUUCAGUAUAUAAUAGAAGGAUAUGGAGAUAACGAACAGUAUUCAAUCUCAAAGUUCAUAAAACUAUACAAAAUAAGAGCAGAGCAAACACGGACCCCCGAAACAUCAGAGGUGGGAUCAGGUGCCAUAAUAAAACACCUAUUUACUUACUAUUC